UGGUCAUCAGGUAAUUAGAGCCGGUUUCGCUCGUCCUCCUCAUACAAGUCCCAUCUAUUCUUCUCCCAGUCCCAGACUCCCAGUCCCGUUCUGAUAUCAUCCAUGGCGCCGGCGAAGAUGUUUGUGCUCUAUCCGUCGUUGGGCGUCGGCCACCUGAUCCCGAUGGUGGAGCUGGCCAAGCACCUGCUCAGCCGUGGCCUUGGCGUUGUCAUCGCCGUCGUCAACCCACCAGACAAGGUCUCGGCUGACGCGGUAGCCCGCCUUGUCGCGGCCAAUCCUUCCAUCGCCUUCAGGCUCCUGCCCGCCCCGUCCAGCCCGGAUCUUGGCGCACACCCGGUCAAGCAGAGCAUGGACAUGCUCCGGCUGGCCAACCCCGUGCUCCGGGAGUUCUUGCGAUCGCUGCCCGCCGUCGACGCCCUCUUUCUGGACAUGUUCUGUGUCGACGCGCUUGAUGUCGCCACUGAGCUCGCCAUCGCUGCUUACUUCUUCUUCGCCUCCGGGGCCAGCGCCCUCGCUAUCCUCCUCAACAUGCCGUACUACGACCCCAAUGCACCGUCUUUCAAGGACAUGGGCAAGAAGCUCGUGCACUUCCCAGGCAUGCCGUCGAUCCGCGCGCUGGAUAUGCCAGUGAUGUUUCAGGAUAAGGAGACUGAAAUGUCCAAAGUCCGGCAGUACCAGUUCAAGCGCAUCGCUGAAGGGAAGGGCGUGCUGGUGAACAGCUUCGACUGGCUGGAGACCAAGGCUCUGAAAGCGCUCAAGGACGGUGUCUGCGUGCCCGGCAGGCCGACCCCGCCGGUGUACUGCAUUGGGCCGUUGAUCGUGGAAGGGAAGGCAGCGGCGAAUGGCGGCGAGCGGCACCCGUGCUUGUCGUGGCUCGACGCGCAGCCGGACCGUAGCGUGGUGUUCCUCUGCUUCGGCAGCCUGGGCGCCGUGUCGGCGGCGCAGCUGAAGGAGAUCGCGCACGGGCUCGAGAACUCCGGCCACGGGUUCCUGUGGGUAAUCCGGAUCCCACCGGAAGACCCGGCCAAAUUCUUCCUGCCGCGCCCGGAGCCAGACCUGGACGCGCUCCUCCCGGAGGGGUUCCUGCAGAGAGGACACGAGGUACGGGGCUGGUGCUGAAGACGUGGGCGCCGCAGGUGGAGGUGCUGCGGCACGCGGCGACCGGCGCGUUCGUGACACGCUACGGGUGGAACUCCGUCCUGGAAGCGGCGUCCACCGCGACGCCGAUGCUGUGCUGGCCGCGGUGCGCGGAGCAGAGGCUGAACAAGGCGUUCGUGGUGGAGGAACUGAAGGCUGGCUUCGUGGUGGAAGGGUACAAUGACGAGCUGGUGAAGGCCCGCGAGGUGGAGAAGAAGGUGAGGCUGGUGAUGGAGGAGUCUGGGCCUCUGGGGAAGUGGAUAGGCUGAGGGAGAGGCUGGCGUUGGCGAAGGAGAUGGCCACGGAAGCGCCGGCCGGCGGACAACGGGCCGUCGAGGACGGCGUUCGCCGCGUUCCUUGAGGAUCUGAAACUUGAUCAAGCUCUGGUCUUGGAAGGUUUGAUUUUGAAGCAAGCUGAGCAUGCUAGUAUAUGAUACUGCAUGCAUUAAUUUGCACUCUUUAAAAACCAAUGUAGUAGUAGCUUGCUUGCCUUAACUCAGAGAAUCUGCCACGGCCACCGGCGAGUUCUUGCAAAAUUAUUUACUGCGCGCUAGCCGUACGUGUUUCCAUUUCCGUGCAACAGUCAACAGGACGAGGCUUUUUCCAUUGCCGCUCCAGGAGCAGCUUAGUGCCAUGUGACUCCUCCCGUCCCGUGGCUUUUCCAUUGUCUAAAGCAAAACUAGAGCUAGAAACGGUAUAAAAUAAUUGUGAUAUUUUCAAACA